rnacentral:rRNA from 1 species
CCUACGGGUGGCAGCAGUGAGGAAUAUUGGUCAAUGGGCGCGAGCCUGAACCAGCCAAGUAGCGUGAAGGAUGACUGCCCUACGGGUUGUAAACUUCUUUUAUAAGGGAAUAAACUGCGGCACGUGUGCCUUUUUGUAUUGACUUUAUGAAUAAGGAUCGGCUAACUCCGUGCCAGCACCCGCGGUAAUACGGAGGGUCCGGGCGUUAUCCGGAUUUAUUGGGUUUAAAGGGAGCGUAGAUGGGUUGUUAAGUCAGGUGUGAAAGUUUGCGGCUCAACCGUAAAAUUGCAGUUGAUACUGGCAGUCUUGAGUACAGUAGAGGUAGGCAGAAUUCGUGGUGUAGCGGUGAAAUGCUUAGAUAUCACGAAGAACUCCGAUUGCGAAGGCAGCUUACUAAACUGCCACUGACAUUGAGGCGCGAAAGUGUGGGUAUCAAACAGGAUUAGAUACCCCUGUAGUC